GCAAAUAUGAGGGAAGAGAAGUACUUUCCCAAAGUGUGGUGGAAGGGAAGGGGGAGAGUUUGUGAUGGGGUGGGGGUGAUGGGCCUGAACUUCAUCCAAGCCUCUGAGGACCCGAGGAGCAGAAACUUGUGGGGAUGUGAGCUAGAAGGUGAAGCCCACCGGUUCCUAGGUGACCUCUCUCUGACUUCAUGGGCCAUGGAACAGGCUGUCUCCGUGGUAAUCUCAACAAUGCUCAAGGCAGUCAGUGCCUGGCAACUUUGGACUUAAGAGUAUCCGGUAGGUGCAAAACAUCAGCCAGGCACUUGGUGCCCAAAGCCUUUGAUUACACCCCAGCUGGACAUCUAGAGCCUGGACGUCAGCUUGGGGAAAACCACUUCUUAUGCAGAAAGUAAAGCCCAGCAAAGGCCACCAGUUCUAGAGGCUGGAAGUCCAAGAUCAAAGUGCCAGCAACAGGCCUUGGGAGGGCCUGCCUCCUGGUUCAUAGAUGGCCAUCGUCUCCCUAUGUCUUCACACGGUGGAAGGGGCAAGGAAGGCUUCCCCACACACCUGCCCUUUACUCUGCGGAGCCCAGCUUCCUACUGCAGUAAACUCUCACAUGGCCAAGAAGGUAAAGGUCUGCUCAGGGCAUUCACCUCCUUUCAGUGGUUCUCCACAUUCAGCCCAGAUAGACUCAGCCAACAGGAAACCCAUUAACCAAAAGCUUGUGUUCUGUUUGGCCUCUUACACAUCAAAGGGAACAUAACAGUGAAAAUUAUAAUAAGCAACAAUGAUCAUCAUCAUUUCCAAGAGACAACAUCAGUGCCAGCAGUUCCAAUGAGACCCUGGGGUGUCAGUCACUGUAUCUGCAAACAGAAAAUGCAACUCACCUGCCUCUCCAGGCAUCAAGAGUGCUCAUAACGCUUAGAAAACUGUAAAUAGCUUAUAACUGCCAGUUGCUGCUAUUGUUCAUAAGUGCUUUGGGGUCACAGCUCUCGAAAUAAUGAGAAGGUGUGCUCUCGGCAAUGAAAUUAAACAGGCAUUUCAGGGCAACCUCAGCUCAGAUCCCUGGAGAAAAAAAGAACCUACAGCUUACCUCCAGAGGGGCACUGAGGAUCAUGUUUCACCCUGAGAGGGGGCUGGCCAUGGAAGGAAAUGACCUGAGGUCGGGGUGGGCCUCCAUUCUGCGGGAGAGGGCAGGGAAGAUGCUUGGCUGCUCUCACAAAGGAGCUUCUAGGAUCUGCCUCUUUUUUUUCCUCACCUCCUCCUAAGGGAAAAAGUUGUUUUCCUUCCUGCGCCUCAGGGCAGAGCAGAAGUUGAAAUGGACUACUUGUUCCUAAUAUUAUUUACAGUUCAGCAAAGGACUUGGGGUCUCCAGCCUCAGGUCUAGAAACUCCUUCCACAGCCACACCCUGAAAAGGACUAGGUUAGCAGCAAAGCUGGGGCUCCUGAGAUAGUAUGCGAUCUUCUGGUGGCGCUUUAAGCUUGUGGUAUAAACUGAGGUGGUCUCAGGUCUCUGGGAAAGAGAGGAUCUCACAACAGAAACAUUUUUCCAGAAAAGGGCGCAGCUUUAGAGUUGCCUUAAUAACAUGGGAUCUAGCGCCACCUAGUGCCUGCUGCGGAGCUUGACAUGGGUCUUGCUCUGAUAAGGUGGUUUUGGUUUUUUUGGAAAUUGGCUUUAACCAAGAGAGAGACCGAAAUGGAGAAACACGUUUUCUGCACACAGGGCUGUCCUCAUGCCCACGAUGAGGGACUGAGAGUUUGGUGGAAGAAGCUGAAAAGCUACAAUCUUAAUGUGUCACGGACGGGGGUGUUGGGUGAGGGGAUGGGGGAGUCUUUCUCUUGGAAGGAAGCUGGGGUGACUCACAAGUAAUAUUUAGAGUCUUAGUCCCAGAAGAUUGGCUUGGAUUUGUCUGCAUGAAUAUUUUUGCUCACACUAGAAAAAAAAUACUGGUGCUAUUUUAUGACUUCUAUGCUUUUCAAACUAGUUUCUCAGAGCUCUCCCAGAGCCAGCAUAGGGGCUGCUUACAAAAAGCCCUUGGAAGCUGCUUCACUGUGGAAUCCACUCCCGCUCCUUGCUACUGCCUACAGGACAAGCAGCCCUCCUUUUUUGUCCUGCCACUGUCUGGCUGCCCUCUAACCCUCUACUAAUUAAAGCCACCAUUUGCUAUU
rnacentral:lncRNA from 1 species